rnacentral:misc_RNA from 1 species
AUGACAGAAAUGACCUGAAAUCAUAUUUACCCUGUUAAAAAAAUAAUAAAAGAAGUGGAGAAAAUCCAGUCUGAAAAGCUGAAUGAUGAUUUUUUCCCCCUAUAUUUUUGUGGGGAAAAGAAAUUAACAAAUUUUGACUAAACAAGAAGGUAUCGCACACCAUCAUCUUCAGUUUUUUCACAUGCAUUAAGGUUCAUUAGCAUGCACACACUUAACACAUGCUGGAUAAGCAUGCACAGACAUGCACCCAUGCAUAUGAAACGAACAAGCAUUCUGAGGCACGCAAGUCCAUGUGUGCCAACAUUUUAAUAGUGCAGCAUGUUUGUAGUGUAUAACACAACGUCUAUGAUUUGUAUUAUAUAAGAAUUACAAAAUUCUUAGUGGAGAGU